AGUUGGUGGAGUGAUUUGUCUGGUUAAUUCCGUUAACGAACGAGACCUUAACCUACUAAAUAGUUACGUCAUUUCUGAAUGACGGGUAACUUCUUAGAGGGACUGCUGAGCGUUACAAAAGCCAGCGGAAGUUUGAGGCAAUAACAGGU
rnacentral:rRNA from 1 species